rnacentral:rRNA from 1 species
AUUGAACGCUGGCGGCAUGCUUUACACAUGCAAGUCGAACGGUAACAGGCCGCAAGGUGCUGACGAGUGGCGAACGGGUGAGUAAUGCAUCGGAACGUGCCCAGUCGUGGGGGAUAACGCAGCGAAAGCUGCGCUAAUACCGCAUACGAUCUAUGGAUGAAAGCGGGGGACCGUAAGGCCUCGCGCGAUUGGAGCGGCCGAUGUCAGAUUAGGUAGUUGGUGGGGUAAAGGCUCACCAAGCCAACGAUCUGUAGCUGGUCUGAGAGGACGACCAGCCACACUGGUACUGAGACACGGCCCAGACUCCUACGGGAGGCAGCGGUGGGGAAUUUUGGACAAUGGGCGCAAGCCUGAUCCAGCAAUGCCGCGUGCAGGAAGAAGGCCUUCGGGUUGUAAACUGCUUUUGUACGGAACGAAACGGUCCUGGUUAAUACCUGGGGCUAAUGACGGUACCGUAAGAAUAAGCACCGGCUAACUACGUGCCAGCCGCCGCAGUAAUAC